CUUCCUGGUCUGGUGCUGAUCGAAGCCCUCGCUGGCUUGCUCGCUCUCCCUGCUGCUGUACGCGAGGAGUCUCCGAAGGGAGCGGAAGCUGCAGAAUUUGCCUUACACUUAAAUGGAAAUGGAAGAUUCUGACCCUAUUUCAUUAGAUGAAGAGAUUUUCACAAAGAAAAACUUUUUCGUCUUGGGGAGGAUAACCGUGAUGAUACUUUACUAAAUUAUGAUUUUUCAGGCCCUCCCUUGACAGCAGGAAAGUUUGAAGAAUUGCAAACAAAGGAUGGUAGUUUACUGGCCAGCGAAGAUGCAGCCCCUGAUGUUUAAGCAAAAGCUGAGGAGGCAUCAGACCCACUGCUAAUGACAGAGUUUGUCCCUCUGACUCCUGUCCCAGGGAUUCAGGGAAGUGUUCUGCAUCACAACUCUCCCAUUCACUGUUUAUUUACAUUGCAUUUACACCCCACCUUUUUCCUCCAAGGAGCUUAAGUUACUGUACAUGGUGCUGCCUCAUUUCAUCCCUGCAACAACCCUGUGAGGUAAGUUAGGCUGAGAGGCAGUGACAGGCUCAAGGAUACACAAUGAGCUUCAUGGCCAAGUAGGGAUUUGAACCCCGGUCUUCCAAAUCCUAGUCUGACAUUCUAACCACCACACCACAUUGCCUCUCCUAAUCCCACAGUUGUUAAGUAGAAUGAUGUUAUGAUUCCAGUACUGAAGUUCAGUGUUGAAGGCUCAGUAGAUAAAGCAAAAAGAGAACUCCCACAUCAUUUCAGGGGAGUUUUUAGAUUUAGCUCAUGCUGAAAUGAUGACAAUAUGUUGUUGGCAUCCAUCUGUCUCAAGAGACAAUGGAGUGAGCCUCUGGGGGUCAAGUCAAACUGCUGUGUUAGCAGCACUGGAGUGACUUCCCAGGGUUGCAAGCCUUGGCAGUGUUUAUGGAAGGUGUUUGGGAUAAGACAGGCUUCCUCAACCUUUGCCCUCCAGAUGUUUUGAGACUACAAUCCCCAUCAUCCCUGACCACUGGUCCUGCUAGCUAGGGAUCAUGGGAGUUGUAGGCCAAAAACAUCUGGAGGGCUAAAGUUGAGGAAGUCUGGGAUAAGACCUCCUUCUCGGUCUUGCUGAUGUGGUCCAAAGGAAAACAGAGCAAUACAUUUGGCACUAGCUUGGCUGCAGGAGUAGCUGGAAGGGGGCAUGCAAGGCUCCAUCCAACCAUAUUAGGGACUCCAGAUUUGUCUAGGGUUUACUCCUUAGCCUUUUCUUCACCCAAAGAUAUCCCAUACAGACCAUAUACAAACCAAUUAACCUAACAUCUACUGAUAAAACACAUAUAUUUCUAAGCCCUAAGUUGCAUCCUCCUAAAACUUCCAGCAAUCCAAACUAGUUAAAAGCUUAGUAUUUUUUUUUUUUUUGGCCAUAUAGCAAUCUAAUCCAAAAUUGCCUUAUAGCUAACAAGUGCUUUAUAGCUAACAAUCCAAGCAGGAAUCUAGGAAACUGCCUUAUGUAGGCUCUGAGGAGAAGCUGCAGAACAUGAAUCCAGCAUAUAGGAUCCAGAAUGGUACCAAUGGGAAAUAAGUUCAUGUAAAAAUAGGGGGAAAUGUUUUAAAUUGGAACAGUAAAGUCUGAGCUUCACAAGGGAAUAAACAGAAUAAACCAAAAUUAAAAGGAUUUUUGGAAGGAACAAAAUGAUAUAAAAACUGUAUAUAGUCAAAACCAUGCAUGCACCAGACGUCUAGACACCAAAAGACUAGCUCAGAAUAAAUUGCGAAAGUAGCUUCUAAAGCUGAAUGAAGGACAUGCUCAAAACAAAAAAAUCCUUCUCUCCGAGAGAAGGCAAAAAGGCAAGCUGGGCUCCAAAGACCUCAACAAGCAAAAAUGUAUUAGAAAACAAAAAUAAAAUCAAGCAAUGUGAGCUCUAGCACUGAGGUAAUCUCUUUUUGAUCCCUCUGCACCUCUUCAUUUUCCUGUCUUCUGGUUCACUCUUUUCUUACUAAAAUUCAUUUCUGUAUUAGUAAAUGACAUCAGGAGCAAA